AACGCACCUUGCGCUCCUUGGUAUUCCGAGGAGCAUGCCUGUUUGAGUGUCUUGAAGUCAUCAACCCCUUCCGUUUCGUGCGGAACGGGUUGGAUGUGGGGGCUCUGCUGCCGUGAGGCGGCUCCCCUCAAAUGCAUCGGUUGGGCCUGUGGGUCGAACUCGACUGGGCGUUGUACCAUCCUCGCUCGACAGAGACGUUCCCCUCUUGUGCCCUUCCUCGACCUGCCCCUCAGAGUGGCGGUCACAAGCAAAAGCUUUGAAAUCUGACCUCAAAUCAGGUAGGACUACCCGCUGAACUUAA
rnacentral:misc_RNA from 2 species